AGAUUGAUCCUAGGAAACCUAUCGGAGGACUGCAAUCUCUCCUCCUCCUCAUCUCUGU
rnacentral:sRNA from 1 species